rnacentral:rRNA from 1 species
UACGUAGGGUGCGAGCGUUAAUCGGAAUUACUGGGCGUAAAGCGUGCGCAGGCGGUCUGUUAAGACCGAUGUGAAAUCCCCGGGCUUAACCUGGGAACUGCAUUGGUGACUGGCAGGCUUUGAGUUUGGCAGAGGGAGGUAGAAUUCCACGUGUAGCAGUGAAAUGCGUAGAGAUGUGGAGGAAUACCGAUGGCGAAGGCGGCAUCCUGGACCUACAUUGACGCUGAGGAGCGAAAGCUAGGGGAGCAAACGGG